rnacentral:tmRNA from 1 species
GGGGGCGUACUGGUUUCGACGGGGGAUGUAUCGGCAAAAGUAGCCAGGCGGGGUCCCACUAGCCCGUAAUACGGUGGACCAAAAUUAAGUGCCAAAGAAAACUACGCUUUAGCUGCUUAGUUCAGCUAACCUCCUACCUUCGCUCUCCCGCGGCGUAGGAUAGGGGGUCAAGAAGCGGGAUACUCCGGGCCCACGAUCCGCUAAGCCCGGGGGAAAACCAGCGGAUUAGUCGGAAGUGGAUCCUGUCCUUGGGAGCCAUUUCCGGCGAAUGCAAAACAAGGACUAUCCUGGUAGAAGCUUUUGUGGGUACUCCUUCGGACAGGGGUUCGACUCCCCUCGCCUCCACCA